AUGGCGCCUUCCACGGCGCCCACGGAAGCCCCCACCCCCAAACCAGGGCGGGCGGAGGGUGGUCCCAGGCGGAGGGACCGAAGCCCUACCCCUCAAGGCACACGAGCAGGGUGGGUGGAGGGAGGACCGGAAGAGGGCCAAAACAAGAGUCCACCCGACAAACCAAGUCCCGAACCGGAAAAAACACAAGGUCCACGAACAGGAAAAACACGGAGUCCAGGGAUUCCCUCACGGAGGGUGACGGCGUGGCGAGAUCCUGCUCAGCAGCCGCUGAGCCAGGGUGGCACUCUUAGUGCCCUUGAGCUGGGCCGAUGUCCCCGGGGGCCACCCCGAAUGGCAACGUCCUCCAGGCGGACGCUGAUCCGAGGGGCUGAGGAGUCGAGGCGGGCGUCGCCGCAGGAGGCAGCGCCAUCCAGGCAGCAGGAGGCGCCGAGGGCGAGGCCACCAGUCCGGCAGCCGAGACAAGGAGGAGGCAGGAACCAGAGACGUCCUCCUUGGACCUCCGCGACAAGACACAGGAACCAGCGGCGUCCUCCUUGGACCACCGCGACGAGAAACAGGAACCAGCGGCGUCCUCCUUGGACCACCGCGACGAGAUACAGGAACCAGCGGCGUCCUCCUUGGACCACCGCGACGAGAUACAGGAACCAGCGGCGUCCUCCUUGGACCACCGCGACGAGAAACAGGUGCAGGUGCGGCCGGAGCCGGGCCGCCAGGAACCGAUGCAGGUGCGGCCGGAGCCGGGCCGGCGGGCGCGACCCCCUCCUGGAGGUCCGCCGGGACUGCGGCGGGCGCGAACCCCUCCUGGAGGUCCGCCGGGACUGCGGCUGGCGCGACCCCCUCCUGGAGGUCCGCCGGAACUGCGGCUGGCGCGACCCCCUCCUGGAGGUGCGCAGGAACUGCAGCUGGCGCGACCCCCUCCUGGAGGUGCGCAGGAACUGCAGCUGGCGCGACCUCCUCCUGGAGGUGCGCAGGAACUGCAGCUGGCGCGACCUCCUCCUGGAGGUGCGCAGGAACUGCAGCUGGCGCGACCUCCUCCUGGAGGUGCGCAGGAACUGCAGCUGGCGCGGCCUCCUCCUGGAGGUGCGCAGGAACUGCAGCUGGCGCCACCUCCUCCUGGAGGUCCGCAGGAGCUGCAGCAGGCGCCGCCUCCUCCUGGAGGCCGGCGGGCGCUGCGGCUCCGAGGGUGACAGGGACUGGAACGACCUCUCUCGGGCCGACAGGAACGAGGACUGGAACGACCGCCACAGGGCCGACAGGAACGGGAGCGGCCUCAACAUGGCCGACAGGAACGGGAGCGGCCUCAACAUGGCCGACAGGGACAGGAACGACCUUAACUUGGCCGACAGGGACAGGAACGACCUCAACAUGGCCGACAGGGACAGGAACGACCUCAACAUGGCCGACAGGGACAGGAACGACCUCAACUUGGCCGACAGGAACAGGAACGACCUCAACAUGGCCGACAGGAACAGGAACGACCUCAACUUGGCCGACAGGAAAAGGAACGACCUCAACAUGGCCGACAGGAACAGGAACGGGGACUGGAACGGCCGCAACAUGGCCGACAGGAACAGGAACGGGGACUGGAACGGCCGCAACAUGGCCGACAGGAACGGCCUCAACAUGGCCGACAGGAACAGGAACAGGGACUGGAACGGCCGCAACAUGGCCGACAGGAACGGCCGUAACAUGGCCGACAGGAACGGCCGCAACAUGGCCGACAGGAACUGGGACGGCGUCCCCUCCGGAGCCGGCAUGACUGCUUACAGCUGCCGAGCUCGACGGAGGAGACGUCGGGCCUGA
ensembl:lncRNA